UGAAAGUCACACAUCUUUGUCUGAGACUUCCAUUUUGUGAACUUGAACACUGCCUCCCACCAUUUGCUGACUAUGACAGAGGAUGGACAACUCACAAACAGAUCCAGUUAAUCACCGCGCUUAUCCCAACAGAAUGAAUUGCAGAGACGCUCAUUAAAGCACCUGUGAAAAAUCGUCAUUUAAGGGAACAGUACAAUUACAGCAAGGGGAGCUAUUUGUCACUUGACAAUCUCAGUCCGGAUUUAAAUGAGGAUGGCCAUUGCCAUGAUGUAGUCCCUCAGUACGUUACAACCAGGAGAUCCUCACUGUCCAACUCCAUAGGGAGCGGGACAACGGGAAGUGGGAUUCAGCAUUGCAAUCAAACGUGAGGCAUCCCCACACCCCAAAUGCUGCCACAUUGUCUGCUGUCAGCGCCUGGUUAACGAAACCUUUCCUCUCCUGGGAACCUUUCUCCUCCUUGAUCACAUCAUCAAGGGAGCAAAUAUCCAUCUUCAUAGAUCCAAGGUACUAGAAUCGGAGGUUCCCCUUUGGGAAAACUGCAACUCACUGUUCGUUGUUUGCAACCUGUGCUUGUCACCGAUGGGGAAGUCACAAAAAAGACCGGAAAAUGAAGUAUUUUAACACGCAGAGACUUGGGAAAAACUUCCCCUGAAAAACUGGAUGGAUCAAGAGAACAUUUGCCUCUGUUCAACAAUAUGAACAUCAAACCUAGAAGAAUUAAAACGAUUGUUUUUGCAUAUGAAACAGAAGUUGGCAAUAAGAAAUAAUUCAACAACUUAUCUGGAUUGAGAUGUUUGUUUUCAACUUUUUCCACAACUUUGUUUGUUAAAUUGCUUGCAGGGCUUCCAUACUGCAAGGGGACAGCUUGCUGAUAUCUUUUAAGACAAUUAAACUGUUUUGCCAAUUUAGUGCUGAUUUAUGGGCUAAAUUGUCAACAAACAUCAAUCUAAGUCCCUUUUGAAAUUUUUUCAGCUGAAUACAGUGUACACUUUUUGAGAAAGCAGCAAAAAACUAGCACAGUUUUUUCCAGCAAGACCGUCGAACCCAUUUUGUGUUUUAGCAUGACUCGAGGACCAGCCGCAUCUCCAGCCAUAGCAUUUACAAAUGGACACCACAUAAAUUUGAGCCUCCAAAACUCUCCUUUUGGUGAAAACUCUCCUUUUGGUGAAAACUCUCCUUUUGGUGAAAACUCUCCUUUUGGUGAAAACUCUCCUUUUGGUGAAAACUCUCCUUUUGGUGAAAACUCUCCUUUUGGUGAAAACUCUCCUUUUGGUGUGCUUUGGAGGUUCAAGUUUUUUGACUUAUUUUCAUUGAUAUCUAUUUAAUGGAACAUUUCAGAUUUAAUGAUUUUGCAGGGUGUCUACCAUCAUUACCAUCUUUGUAACAAGUUAGCUUUCAGAUAGAAAUUAAACCUUAGUUUUUUUCUGGGUCAUUACCAAAGUAUGACCAAACCUUUUUGUGACUUGAAGACAAAGGGACAAGUCUAGUCACAUACAUGUGGUAUACUCACCACCAUGUAUUUGAAUCAUGCACCAACUGUUGUCCAGAUCUUGUUGUCAUGCUAACUUACUUCCAUAAUGUGCCUCAUGCCUCAUUUGCUUAUUAGUUUGCACUGAACCCAAAUAAAGUCCUUUUCAACACAAAUUCACAAAUUGUGUAAUUAAAGUUUUAACCUAACACAGGUGUUCUGAAGAAAACAAUACUUGUUUUGUUGUGCCACCAAGAGUAUUUAUGAAUGAGUAAUGAGUUAGUGAGAAUAGUGCCCGCAUAGUUUUUAAACAGUUUUUUUAACACCCUUAUACUUUUUUGCUGAGUAUUUAAAAGGCCCACAGUAAACACCCCACCCACAUUAAACUUUAAUUAUGUUGUUUUCGUUAUUAUUCAUAAGUCAAAUGUCUUUUGAGGAAACUUUCAUACUAGGAUGGGCUGAGAUAUUCAUAUAGUAUCAGCUACCUUGAUCGUGGAUCCAUACUGAUUAAAGACAGUGGACACUAUUGGUAAUUGUCAAAGACUAGCCUUCACAGUUGGUGUAUC